UGUCCUAAAGAAGACCACCUUGUCUUGGCUUAGGACACACUAGAAGCAAUGCUAGAAAGAAAAAAACUAAUGUAAGAAAGAAAGAAGAGAGGAGUGGGGUGGAGUUGGAAUGAUGAAACCCAUGGAGUGCUAACCUAUUUAUAAUAGGUGUAGGGAUGCAUCUCCAAGAGAUGCAUCCCAUCCACACAUCUUCUCAUGAAAGGGCAUCAUCUAAAGGGCCAUAUCAAAUAAGAUGAGGUGCAGAUCAAGUGAGGAGGUAUAUCAAAUGAUAUGUCCUUUCAUGUGGUGCCAUAUUUUGACCAAGUCAACAUCACAUGCUAAUCACAUGUCCAUCACGCCUCACCUCUUGAUCUUUCAUGAUGAUGAUCCAAGGGCUCCAAUGCAAGGCGCCAUUCACUUGACCCAUUAUAUCUUCAUUCAAUGGUGGGAUUAAGAUCCAAUGGUCAAUUAUGAUAGCCAUCCUCUAAUCCAAUCCAAUUGGGUUAAACCAACUCUCCAUUAUGUCUUCAUCCAACGGUAGAUCAAGAUCUAACGGUCUAGAUUGAAUGAUUUAUUAAAUCUAAUCUAAUUAGACCCAAAUCAAGCCAAUUAGGUGCCAAAUCUUGGCUAACCCAUAUUAGAACUUGAUCUAAUCAAAUUAGAUCAAUUAAGAAUCGGAUUCGAAU
rnacentral:lncRNA from 1 species